rnacentral:tRNA from 1 species
GCACAGUUAGCUCAGUCAGUUGAGCAUAGCACUAACAACGCUAAGGUCAUGGGUUCAAUUCCCAUUCAGUCCC